rnacentral:rRNA from 1 species
AUUGAACGCUGGCGGCAGGCCUAACACAUGCAAGUCGAGCGGAUGAAGGGAGCUUGCUCCUGGAUUCAGCGGCGGACGGGUGAGUAAUGCCUAGGAAUCUGCCUGGUAGUGGGGGAUAACGUCCGGAAACGGGCGCUAAUACCGCAUACGUCCUGAGGGAGAAAGUGGGGGAUCUUCGGACCUCACGCUAUCAGAUGAGCCUAGGUCGGAUUAGCUAGUUGGUGGGGUAAAGGCCUACCAAGGCGACGAUCCGUAACUGGUCUGAGAGGAUGAUCAGUCACACUGGAACUGAGACACGGUCCCGACUCCUACGGGAGGCAGCAGUGGGGAAUAUUGGACCAUGGGCGAAAGCCUGAUCCAGCCCUGCCGCGUGUGUGAAGAAGGUCUUCGGAUUGUAAAGCACUUUAAGUUGGGAGGAAGGGCAGUAAGUUAAUACCUUGCUGUUUUGACGUUACCAACAGAAUAAGCACCGGCUAACUUCGUG